UACAGAGGAUGCAAGCGUUAUCCGGAAUGAUUGGGCGUAAAGCGUCCGUAGGUGGCUUUUUAAGUCCGCCGUCAAAUCCCAGGGCUCAACUCUGGACAGGCGGUGGAAACUACCAAGCUGGAGUACGGUAGGGGCAGAGGGAAUUUCCGGUGGAGCGGUGAAAUGCGUAGAUAUCUGGAGGAACACCGGUGGCGAAAGCGGCUCACUGGACCUGAUCUGACACUGAGGUGCGAAAGCUAGGGUAGCAAACGGG
rnacentral:rRNA from 1 species